rnacentral:rRNA from 1 species
UACGUAGGGGGCAAGCGUUGUCCGGAAUCAUUGGGCGUAAAGCGCGUGUAGGCGGCUGAGUAAGUCUGCUCUGAAAGCCCGGGGCUCAACCCCGGGAGGCGGGUGGAUACUGCUCAGCUCGAGUCCGGAAGAGGAGUGUGGAAUUCCUGGUGUAGCGGUGAAAUGCGCAGAUAUCGAGGAGGAACACCAAUGGCGAAGGCAGCACUCUGGGACGGUACUGGACGCUGAGACGCGAAAGCGUGGGGAGCAAACAGG